GGCUUUUUUGGUGUAGUGGAUGGGUGUUGGACUACAACUCUGGAAACCAGGGUUCAAAUCCCUGUUGGGCCA